UGGGGAAUAUUGCACAAUGGGCGAAAGCCUGGUGCAGCAACGCCGCGCGAGUGAUGAAGGUCUUCGGAUUGUAAAGCUCUGUCUUUUGGGACGAUAAUGACGGUACCAAAGGAGGAAGCCACGGCUAACUACGUGCCAGCAGCCGCGGCAAUACGUAGGUGGCGAGCGUUGUCCGGAUUUACUGGGCGUAAAGGGUGCGUAGGCGGAUGUUUAAGUGAGAUGUGAAAUACCCGGGCUUAACUUGGGUGCUGCAUUUCAAACUGGAUAUCUAGAGUGCAGGAGAGGAGAAUGGAAUUCCUAGUGUAGCGGUGAAAUGCGUAGAGAUUAGGAAGAACACCAGUGGCGAAGGCGAUUCUCUGGACUGUAACUGACGCUGAGGCACGAAAGCGUGGGUAGCAAACAGGAUUAGAUACCCUGGUAGUCCACGCCGUAAACGAUGAGUACUAGGUGUAGGAGGUAUCGACCCCUUCUGUGCCGCAGUAAACACAUUAAGUACUCCGCCUGGGAAGUACGAUCGCAAGAUUAAAAC
rnacentral:rRNA from 1 species